UACAGAGGGUGCGAGCGUUGUCCGGAAUCACUGGGCGUAAAGGGCGCGUAGGUGGCGGCCCAAGUCCAUGGUGAAAGCUCGAUGCUCAACAUCGAGUCGGCCACGGAUACUGGGUUGCUCGAGCACUGUAGGGGCAGAUGGAAUUCCGGGUGUAGCGGUGGAAUGCGUAGAGAUCCGGAAGAACACCGGUGGCGAAGGCGGUCUGCUGGGCAGUUGCUGACACUGAGGCGCGACAGCGUGGGGAGCAAACAGGGAU
rnacentral:rRNA from 1 species